rnacentral:tRNA from 1 species
GUCGGCGUGGUGGAAUUGGCAGACACGGUGGAUUCAAAAUCCACUCUAGUUAAGUAGGUGCAGGUUCAAGUCCUGUUGCCGACA